UCAGCUGAGCUGUUGGAAUGCUGGUGGUAAAAUUGUGUAAUACUGACAGAGUUGGCAUCUACAGUCUCCUGAAGAAAAGAUUGCAAAAAAGCUUUGGAGAGAUUAAGAAGAUUAUCCACAAAAUACAGAACAGAGAAGAUCUAUCCAACAGCCACUGGUGAAAAGGAAGAGAAUGUGAAGAAGAACAGAUACAAGGAUAUAUUACCAUUUGAUCACAGCCGAGUUAAACUGACCUUGAAAACUCCCCCCCAAGAUUCCGACUACAUCAAUGCAAACUUCAUUAAGGGAGUACAUGGGCCGAAGGCGUAUGUUGCUACCCAGGGACCAUUAGCAAAUACAGUAAUAGAUUUCUGGAGGAUGAUAUGGGAAUACAAUGUGGCUAUAAUUGUAAUGGCCUGUCGAGAAUUUGAAAUGGGAAGG